GGGGGAAAAUUAAUAAAAUAAAAUUAAUAAAGAAAAUUUUAAAUUAAAAAUAAAUAAUGGGGGUUAAAGUAUUUUUAAUAGAAAAAAUUUUAAAUUUUAUAGGGAAAUAUGUAUUGUAGAAGAAAUUUGAAAUAAUUGAAAUUAAAUUAAUUAAAAAGAAAAUUUAAUUUGUUGUAUCUUGUGUAUCAGAGUUUAUUAAAUAAAUUUUUUAAAAUAAAAAAUCUCGAAUUUAAAAGAGUUAAUUAAUUAUAAAAGUUAAUGUAACAUAAUUAUUUUAAAUAAUUAAUUAGAAAUGAAAUGUUAAUCGUUUUUAAAUAUAUCUAGUUAUUUUAGAAAAAAAUUUAAUUUUAAAUUUAAAUAAUUUUAUAAUUUAUUAAAAAAAAUUAUAAAAAUUUAAAUUUAAUAUAUUAGGGGAUAAGCUUUAAUUUAAAAAUUUAUAAUUAAAUAAUUUAUAUUAAAAUUUUUAAAAUUUAUAUUGUUUAAAAAUUUUAAUUUAUUAUAAAAAAUUUUAAUAAAAAUAAAAUUUUAUUGGAAAAAUUUAAAAUUAUAUAAAAUAAUAAUUUUUAAUAAUAAAAAAUUAGUAAUAAUGAUAAAAUUAGUAUAAAUAAAAUAAAAAAAAAUAAAUUUAUAAUUAAAAUUAAUUAAAAGGAAUUUGGCAAAUAAAAUAUUCACUUGUUUAUCAAAAACAUGUCUUUUUGAAUAUAAUUUAAAGUCUAAUCUGCCCACUGAUAAAUAUUAAAGGGCUGCAGUAUCAUGACUGUACAAAGGUAGCAUAAUCAUUAGUUUUUUAAUUGAAAACUUGUAUGAAGGAUUUGAUGAAAUAUAAGCUGUCUCUAAUUUAUUUAUAGAAAUUUAUUUUUUAGUUAAAAAGCUAAAAUAAUUUUAAAAGACGAGAAGACCCUAUAGAGUUUUAUAUUUAUUUUUAUUAAAAAAUUAUAUAAAAAUUAAUAUUGAAAUAAAAUGAAGUAUUAUGUUGGGGUGAUAGAAAAAUUAAAUUAACUUUUUUUAAAAAUUAAACAUAAAUAUAUGAUUAAAUGAUCCAUUAAUAAUGAUUAUAAGAAAAAAUUACCUUAGGGAUAACAGCGUAAUGUUUUUUUUUAGUUCAUAUAAAAAAAAAAGUUUGCGACCUCGAUGUUGGAUUAAGAUAAAAUUUAAAUGCAAAAGUUUAAAAUUUUGAUCUGUUCGAUCAUUAAAAUCUUACAUGAUCUGAGUUCAAACCGGUGUGAGCCAGGUUGGUUUCUAUCUUUAGAUAAUUAAAAUAUUUUA
rnacentral:rRNA from 1 species